GGGCCCGCACAAGCGGUGGAGUAUGUGGUUUAAUUCGAUGCAACGCGAAGAACCUUACCAGGGUUUGACAUCCUGCGAAUCUCUUGGAAACGAGAGAGUGCCUUCGGGAACGCAGUGACAGGUGGUGCAUGGCUGUCGUCAGCUCGUGUCGUGAGAUGUUGGGUUAAGUCCCGCAACGAGCGCAACCCACAUCCCUAGUUGCCAGCAGUUCGGCUGGGCACUCUAUGGAAACUGCCCGUGAUAAGCGGGAGGAAGGUGUGGAUGACGUCAAGUCCUCAUGGCCCUUACGGGUUGGGCUACACACGUGCUACAAUGGCAUCUACAGUGGGUUAAUCCCCAAAAGAUGUCUCAGUUCGGAUUGUCGUCUGCAACUCGACGGCAUGAAGUCGGAAUCGCUAGUAAUCG
rnacentral:rRNA from 1 species